AAAAAAUCUCCCAAUACAAAAGAACUCUGCACCUGAUGUCUUCUCUAGUAAAUUCACUGAAUUCUUAGUUGAAGAAGAGUAUCAAUUCUUCUCAAACUUUAAUCAUGGAUGAUUGAAAUAAAAAUCAAUUAAUAUAGGAUAUCACAUCAACAUAAUGAAAGGAAAAAUUAGCACAUAAUCAUUUCAAUUGAUGAUCAAAAGAAAAAGCAUCUGACAAAAUUCACCUUUCCUGAUAAAAACACUCAACAAAACUGGAAGAGAAGGAAACUACCUCCACAUAAAAGCCACAUAU